CAGAACGAACGCUGGCGGCAGGCCUAACACAUGCAAGUCGAACGCCCCGCAAGGGGAGUGGCAGACGGGUGAGUAACGCGUGGGAACCUACCUAGAGGUGCGGAAUAGCCCAGGGAAACUUGGAGUAAUACCGCAUAAGCCCGCAAGGGGAAAGAUUUAUCGCCUUUAGAUGGGCCCGCGUCUGAUUAGCUAGUUGGUGAGGUAAUGGCUCACCAAGGCGACGAUCAGUAGCUGGUUUGAGAGAAUGACCAGCCACACUGGGACUGAGACACGGCCCAGACUCCUACGGGAGGCAGCAGUGGGGAAUCUUGGACAAUGGGGGCAACCCUGAUCCAGCCAUGCCGCGUGAGUGACGAAGGCCUUAGGGUUGUAAAGCUCUUUUGGCGGGGACGAUAAUGACGGUACCCGCAGAAUAAGUCCCGGCUAACUUCGUG
rnacentral:rRNA from 1 species